rnacentral:misc_RNA from 1 species
GAUGAAGAACGUAGCGAAAUGCGAUAAGUAAUGCGAAUUGCAGAAUUUCCGUGAGUCAUCGAAUCUUUGAACGCACAUUGCGCCCACUGGUAUUCCGGUGGGCAUGCCUGUUCGAGCGUCAUUAUCCUCCCUCAAACCCCGGGUUUGGUGUUGGACCCAAGUUGUGUGAACAACUGGUCUUAAAGACAAUGACGGCGUCCGUGGGACCCUCGGUGCAACGAGCUUUUAGGAGCACGCAUCGAGUUGCAAGGACCUUCCGGGCCGGUCUCCUUUACUAUUUUACAUGGUUGACCUCGGAUCAGGUAGGAAUACCCGCUGAACUUAAGCAUAUCAAUAAGCGGAGGA